UGUUGCAUCUUUGAUUUAUCUUUACAGUCAAGUUGGGGAGUGAAGGCUUCACCGAAGUACGGGAACCCGAAGGAUUGAGUGAAGUUGGUGUUGUUCGGCAGUUUUAUGAAGGAUCAACCUAAUUGAAUCUUCGUUCAGGGAUAGUGACCUGCAUCUGAGAUAACCACUGCAAGAUCAGGAAGGUUUGUGCUAUGUUCACCCUCCAGCAGCAAAAGUCAUGAAGAAGGCACUCAGCCCAAAACAUUGACUGUUUAGUCCUCUCCACAGAUGCUACCUGACCUACUGAGUUCCUCCAGCUUUGUCUUUGUCUCACUGGGCUCCACACACCAAUUCUUCCCACCAGUGCAGAGUGCCCUCCUGCUUCAAAACAUCCAUCAUUGUUCCUGUAUCUAAAAAGACCAAGGUAACAUGUCCGAACAACUGGCAUCCUGUCACACUCACCUCAAUAAUAAGCAAGUGCUUUGAGGGGCUGGUCAAGGAUUACAUCUGCAGCAUGCUACCACCCACAAUGGGCCCCCUACAAUUCACCUUCAGACGCAACCGAUCAACAGAUGACACAACAGCCACAGCUCCACACACCGGCCUUACGCAUCUGUGGAACAGUGAUGCUUAUGUGAGAAUGCCGUUCAGCACUCAACACCAUAAUUCCAUCCAGGCUUAACAAGAAGCUCAGUGACCUCGGCCUUCACCCUGCCUUGUGUAGCUGGAUCCUGGACUUCCUGUCAGAUCACCAGCUGGUGGUAAGAGUGGGUUCCCUCACCUCUGCUCCUCAACACAGGUGCCCCUCAAGGCUGUGUGCUGAGCCUACUCCUUUACUUUCUGUAUACUCAUAUCUGUGUCACCACCCACAGCUCCAAUCUCCUAAUUAAAAUUGCUGACGACACUACACUGAUGGCCUAAUCUCAAAUAAUAACAAUGAGGCAGCCCUACAGAGAAGAAGUCAUCACCCUGACACAGUGGUGUCAAGAAAACAACCUCUCCCUCAAUGUCAUAAAAACAAAGGAGCUGGUUAUGGACUAUAGGAGGAAUAGCCUUACUAUUCUAAAGGCACCAUCUUUUAUCCUCGAUCUCCCUCAGCAUUUUCAGCCAUAUAAAGUGAUUAACUGAGGUCUAUAGAAUUCACGAAGGAAUGGGAUGAUCAGCCCCAUAUCAUCUUCCAUAUCAACUGUUCUGGUUUUCAAUGAUGGCUCAGGUUCUUUAACCCAUAAGGCAGUGCAGGAUAAUGAAGUCCAAGGUUAUCUCUGGAACAUUCUACACACCAUAGGAGACCUGUGUUAUGAAUGUACCACAGCUCUGAGAGGCCGAAGGGUGCGGCAUAGCCCCCUCCUUUGUGAGAAUCGCAAGAGCGUUAUUGGAUUGGGUCAGAGGACCCAGGAAAUGAGAGAGAGACAUGGCCAUUGUCUCCUGGAGACAACGUUUGUGGAUUGGGGACUAGGCUACGUGCAAGCCCUCGGGCAAAGUGGGCUGGUUGAGAGAGAGAUUGCAUCAUCCCAACCUGGUUGACAUCUACUACCCUGCGAGUUAAGAUAAAAGGGAGGGGGGGGCUGUAGGGACAGCCCCUCAGACGCACCAGAAGAAACGCUAGCGAUCCCUUAAUAGCGGAAAGCCAUUUGAAGGAAGCCGCGUGUGUUCGGUUCCCUCGCCUGGGGGCUGGUGGCUGGUACCACGGAAAACAACUUAGAACUAACAAUGGGGAACCAACUCCCCCGACUCAACGGAUUGGCCUCAUAAAGACUCGGGCAAGUUUCAAACCGUCUCUCUCUUAAACCCAAAGAGCUGCAGCUUGAAAGGACAGUGACUUUUAUCUUUCCAUCGGACAAUACAAUAUCCCCUAGACAAACGAUAGAGCUAUUGCUUAAUUGAUGAUUAUUAUUAUACCCGCAUUUUUAGAUUGAGUAUUGACGACGUAUAUUAUCUGAAUGUCUGUAUUAAUCUUAUUUUUGUGCCUCUUUAUAAAUAAAGACUUUUUAAAAUAGUACCAUCAGACUUCAACGGACCUCUCUAUCUUUGCUGGUAAGUGAUCCAGUUACGGGAAUUUUGUAACACCUGUCAUUGUGCAUAAUUAGGCACUUGGGAAAGGCCAAUAAGAAGUUAGCUUUAGACAGAGCAGCCGUUGUUGGUGUGGCUCAGUGUUUGAGUGGGGAGUUGAGGCUUUGGCAAGAAGGGGCAAAGGCUGUAGAUCGAUUUUGUUCAUUUAAUUUUCUACCUUUCUCAUUGUACCAUUAGAGCAGCGGGGAUUCCAGAUAGGGCAGUGGAAUGCUCCUCUUGCAGGAAAUGGGAAGGCAGGGAAACUUCCAGUGUCUCUGAAGAUUGCAUCCAGCUGCAACUUCCUACAAACCGCGUUAAGAUUUGGAGCUGGAGCAACUCCAGAUCAUUCAGGAGGCUAAGGAGUUGAUCGACAGGUACUUACACCCAAAAUGAAGGACACAGGUAAAUGGUGACUGUCAGAAGGGGCAAAGGGGAUGAGCAGCCAGUUCAGAGUACCCCUAUGGUAGUCCCCUCAGUAUACCACUUUGGAUACUUGUG